CAAGUACUCCCUCCGCCCGAAAUUACUUGUCAUCAAAAUGGAUGUGUCUAGAACUAAAAUACAUCUAGAUACAUCCAUUUCAAUGACAAGUAUUUUCGAACGGAGGGAGUACAAG
rnacentral:pre_miRNA from 1 species